rnacentral:rRNA from 1 species
UACAGAGGUCCCGAGCGUUGUUCGGAUUCAUUGGGCGUAAAGGGUGCGUAGGCGGCGCGGUGAGUCGGGUGUGAAAUCUCGGAGCUUAACUCCGAAACUGCAUUCGAUACUGCCGUGCUUGAGGACUGGAGAGGAGACUGGAAUUUACGGUGUAGCGGUGAAAUGCGUAGAUAUCGUAAGGAAGACCAGUGGCGAAGGCGGGUUGCUGGGCCGACACUGACGCUGAGGCGCGAAAGCUAGGGGAGCGAACGGG